GAUUCUCUGGACGACUCUGUCUGGAAUAUCGUGAGAAUAUUCAGAUAGACGGAUCAUGGUUCGCAAUUCUUGAUACGAGAUUUUCCCAUCGCCAUCGGAGUCGAACCUGUUGAAUAUAUUCCUCCAAUGCUGAAAAACAAUGGGAAUCUCGAUCCCAGGCUCUCCGCCUUGGUGGUUCGGCAUCCUUAUCAGCUUGAAACCUCUGCAAAAUAUAGUAAAUUAGUGCAUUAAAGAUGUGAAAUAAGUCUACGCUGUAUUAACAUUUAAUACUUAGUAUGGUAUAUUGACAAUAACAGUAAUUAAUUUUUAUGGAAAGAAAGAGUCAGAAAAGAGCGAGAGACAAGAUGUAUAAAAUCUUUAAAGUAACAUGUCUUCUGAAUGAAUCUUCCAAACAUUCUCUAAAUGCACUGCACCUUACAGUUUAAGAAUCUUGUCCUAACUAACUUCCUGUUAGGAAAUCAAUCAAGGAAACCGAUGCAGAAAGUGUGAGAAAUUCUCAGUGAUCGACGUGAAGUGGGAAUUAGAGCAAAGAUUGAAAUGUGGUCGUCGACAAGAACAUUAUAUAGAACGCUGUGCACGUGAAAUAUUAUUAACCUUUCGAUCUCCUAACAAAAUCCUGUAUAUACCUCGGUGAACAUUUCUGAUCGCCUUCGGUCCAAUCAGAUAUUGAAUUCGGUACAAGCAAGAUUUAUACAUACGAGUACAAAAAAAUUCAAAUUUAUAAGCACUGGGGCAAAUUGUCUGUUUCUAUUCGGCUACAAAUUUUGACGUAUAGUCAAACAUUGUAGAUUGAUAGAUCGAUUGGAUUUGUUGGACCCUUCGAUGCAAUUAAUUUCUGAAAGAGAAACGAACAGAAACACAAAACAAGAGAGAAAGUCAGAUUGAAGGGG